rnacentral:rRNA from 1 species
UACGUAGGGACCAAGCGUUGUUCGGAUUUACUGGGCGUAAAGGGCGCGUAGGCGGCAAUUCAAGUCAUCUGUGAAAUCUCCGGGCUUAACUCGGAACGGUCAGAUGAUACUGCUUUGCUCGAGUACGGAAGGGGCAAUCGGAAUUCUUGGUGUAGCGGUGAAAUGCGUAGAUAUCUGGAGGAACACCGGUGGCGAAGGCGGCAUCCUGGACCACGACUGACGCUGAGGAGCGAAAGCCAGGGGAGCAAACGGG